rnacentral:lncRNA from 1 species
CCACUAUUGAGUCGCUGGGCAUGGUGGUGCACACGUGUAAUCCCAGCACUCAGGAGGCUGAGGCAGGAGGAUCACAAUUUCAGUCCACUUUUUGCAACUUGGCGAGACCUGUCUUAAUUAAAGUCAUACCCGUGUAUGGUGGAGGCAAGGGAAGAACCCAGCUCGCUGUUGCGGUGACCGUGACAUGCAGGGCCCUGGUUUGGGGAUGGACACUCCGGGGCACAGGCCGAGCUAUGGGCCAGGGUGCUGUGCCUCUCCUACCCACUCGCUCACGUGGGCCUGGCAGACGGAGCCACUAUACUCCCUAGAGACAAUGCCAAGUGCUUCCUGGGGGACGCUUACCAAGGGUUCCUGUUCCUGCAGGUCUGGCACCCCAGAUCACUGAGCAGGAUGGGGUGACAGGCCCUGGGCAGGUGGAGCAGAGAUGUGUGCCCCUCCUCCAUCAUGGGGUUGAGCAGCAGGGAACCUGGCUUUGUGGCUG